ACCACUGUAUAAGACAGGGUGGUUGGGUCAAGGUGUAACUCCCUGGUGCUCAACUACUUGGACGAAAGAGACGGUGAGCAGGACUGUCAUCACCUGGCUACUGGAAACGCCUUGUGUCUGUGGCACUGAAUCCCCAGCCAAGCUUAAGUCAUGAAGAUCCUCCAUCUGCUCUUUGCUGUUGUCUUCUUGGUGCUCCUGGAUGCCCCAGGAUUCUCCGAGGCUAGGAUAAGCCCAUGGAAAUGUAGACGCCGUGGGGGAAAAUGUUACCUUAGAUGUCCCACUAAUUCCAUAUACAUUGCAAAAUGCUUAGUGGGUGCCAAAUGCUGCCAAAGGCAAGAGUUUGACUGAUUGCCUGGGGGGAUCUCCAGGAAUCUGGGAGACAGCCACUUGCUUCUAAAAUCAUCAGAUCCUGCCUCAAUGGAACCUUGAAGUCUCAUUCAUUUGGGCUGAAAAGAACCUUGUGAGGUAGAGAAACUCCAGAAGGGAGCCCUUGUAUUACACAUAUAAAAUUUGUUACUUUCCUUUUAAUAAAAGCAAGCUGGUGUAAGAUCA